GUGGGGAAUAUUCCGCAAUGGACGAAAGUCUGACGGAGCAACGCCGCGUGAGUGAUGAAGGUUUUCGGACUGUAAAGCUCUGUUGUUUGGGACGAAAGUGCCUGUUGCGAACAGUUACGGGUAUUGACGGUACUAAACGAGGAAGCCACGGCUAACUACGUGCCAGCAGCCGCGGUAAUACGUAGGUGGCAAGCGUUGUCCGGAAUUAUCGGGCGUAAAGAGCAUGUAGGCGGGACUCUAAGUCUGUUGUUAAAAUGCGGGGCUCAACCCCGUAUUGCGAUGGAAACUGGGUUUCUUGAGUGCAGGAGAGGAAAGGGGAAUUCCCAGUGUAGCGGUGAAAUGCGUAGAUAUUGGGAGGAACACCAGUGGCGAAGGCGCCUUUCUGGACUGUGUCUGACGCUGAGAUGCGAAAGCCAGGGUAGCGAACGGGAUUAGAAACCCGUGUAGUCC
rnacentral:rRNA from 1 species